UACGAAGGGGGCUAGCGUUGCUCGGAAUCACUGGGCGUAAAGGGUGCGUAGGCGGGUCUUAAGUCAGGGGUGAAAUCCUGGAGCUCAACUCCAGAACUGCCUUUGAUACUGAAGAUCUUGAGUUCGGGAGAGGUGAGUGGAACUGCGAGUGUAGAGGUGAAAUUCGUAGAUAUUGCAAGAACACCAGUGGCGAAGGCGGCUCACUGGCCCGAUACUGACGCUGAGGCAC
rnacentral:rRNA from 1 species